rnacentral:rRNA from 1 species
UCGCCUGGGAACUACGAGCUAAGCUUAAAACCCAAAGGACUUGACGGUACCCCAUAUCCCCCUAGAGGAGCCUGUCCUAUAAUCGAUAACCCCCGCUUUACCUCACCAUUUUUUGCUAAUCAGCCUGUAUACCUCCGUCGUCAGCUUACCACGUGAGCGUCAGUGAGCCCAAUGUUUGUUCAACCACACGUCAGGUCAAGGUGCAACAUAUAAAGUGGAAAGAGAUGGGCUACACUCUCUAACUUAGAACAAACGAAUAACUUAAUGAAACCUAACUAGAAGGCGGAUUUAGCAGUAAAAUGAAACUAGAGCGUUCAUUUAAAUUAGGCACUGGGGUGUGU